AGAGUUUGAUUCUGGCUCAGAACGAACGCUGGCAGCGUGGAUUAGGCAUGCAAGUCGAACGGGAAGCUUCGGAUUCAAGUUUUCGGACGAGAAUCUGAAGUGGAGAGUGGCGAAAGGGUGAGUAACGCGUGGGCAAUCUGCCUCUAAGUUGGGGAUAACCCUCCGAAAGGAGAGCUAAUACCGAAUGCGGUCCUCUGUCGCAUGGCAGAGUGAUUAAAGACGGGGAUCUUCGGACCUGUCGCUUGGAGAUGAGCCCGCGUGCCAUCAGCUUGUUGGUAGGGUAACGGCCUACCAAGGCUUACGGCUAGCUGGUCUGAGAGUAUGAUCAGCCACACUGGGACUGAGACACUGCCCAGACUCCUACGGGAGGCUGCAGUCGAGGAUCAUUCGCAAUGCGCGAAAGCGUGACGAUGCGACGCUGCGUGGAGGAUGAAGGCCUUAGGGUUGUAAACUCCUGUCAUGAGGGAAGAACUGGCGAUAGGUUAAUAGCCUGUCGCCUUGACGGUACCUCAAGAGGAAGCCACGGCUAACUCUGUGCCAGCAGCCGCGGUAAUACAGAGGUGGCAAGCGUUGUUCGGAUUUACUGGGCGUAAAGCGUACGUAGGUGGUCAGGUGUGUCGGAUGUGAAAUCCCACGGCCCAACCGUGGAACUGCAUUCGAAACUGCCUGACUAGAGUGCAGGAGGGGAGAGCGGAAUUCUUGGUGUAGCGGUGAAAUGCGUUGAUAUCAAGAAGAACACCGGUGGCGAAGGCGGCUCUCUGGAAUGCUACUGACACUGAGGUACGAAAGCUGGGGGAGCAAACAGGAUUAGAUACCCUGGUAGUCCCAGCCGUAAACGGUGUGAACUUGGUGUAGGGGGUAUUGACCCCCCCUGUGCCGGAGCUAACGCGUUAAGUUCACCGCCUGGGGAGUACGGCCGCAAGGCUAAAACUCAAAGAAAUUGACGGGGGCCCGCACAAGCGGAGGAGCAUGUGGCUUAAUUCGAUGCAACGCGAAGAACCUUACCAGGGCUUGACAUGGCGACCCUUCGGGGGUGGGAAUGAAAGUUCCCUUUACGAUCACAGGUGCUGCAUGGCUGUCGUCAGUUCGUGCCGUGAGGUGUUUGGUUAAGUCCAGCAACGAACGCAACCCCUGUGUUUAGUUGCCACUUCGACUUCGGUCGGAAGCACUCUAAACAGACUGCCCGUACAAGCGGGAGGAAGGUGGGGACGACGUCAAGUCAGUAUGGCCCUUACGCCCUGGGCUGCACACGUGCUACAAUGGCCAGUACAGAAGGAUGCAAUGCCGCAAGGUGGAGCUAAUCCCCAAAGCUGGCCUCAGUUCGGAUUGGAGUCUGCAACUCGACUCCAUGAAGUUGGAUUCGCUAGUAACGGCGUAUCAGCUACGACGCCGUGAAUACGUUCCCGGGCCUUGUACACACCGCCCGUCACAUCAUGAAAGCCGUCUGCACCCGAAGUCGCUGAGCCAACCCGCAAGGGGGGCAGGCGCCGAAGGUGUGGGUGGUGAUUGGGAUGAAGUCGAAACAAGGUA
rnacentral:rRNA from 1 species